GUGAACCGUACGUAAGCAAUUGUCUAACAACAGCUGCCCCGCGAAUGCAUAUAGUCACGCCCAGCGCAGAAUCUGAGCACAAAUCGCUAUCGCGCGAUGUAUAUUUAUAGCUGUUUCAGUUCCUGCACAGAAGAACAUGAACGUUCUACUUGUUGGUGCAGUCCUGGCUGUUUUUCUCGCUGUUGCUUCCUCUGGACCGCGUUGCAAGCCUCGGAAUUGCGUCUACCCAGGAGCCUGUUGGAAGCCUACUACGCUUGGAAACUGCCAUUCGUCCCAACGGAGGCUUUUUUUCUACAACUUUACUGCCGGUCAGUGCCGAAUGUAUUGCUGGAGAGGGAACUGCGAAGAAUGCAACUGUUUUGCCAGCCAAUUAGAAUGUGAAGGCAAGUGCAUCACACCACGACGGAACC
rnacentral:lncRNA from 1 species